rnacentral:rRNA from 1 species
AUUUAGAGGAAGUAAAAGUCGUAACAAGGUUUCCGUAGGUGAACCUGCGGAAGGAUCAUUACUGAUUUGCUUAAUUGCACCACAUGUGUUUUUCUUUGAAACAAACUUGCUUUGGCGGUGGGCCCAGCCUGCCGCCAGAGGUCUAAACUUACAACCAAUUUUUUAUCAACUUGUCACACCAGAUUAUUACUAAUAGUCAAAACUUUCAACAACGGAUCUCUUGGUUCUCGCAUCGAUGAAGAACGCAGCGAAAUGCGAUACGUAAUAUGAAUUGCAGAUAUUCGUGAAUCAUCGAAUCUUUGAACGCACAUUGCGCCCUCUGGUAUUCCGGAGGGCAUGCCUGUUUGAGCGUCGUUUCUCCCUCAAACCGCUGGGUUUGGUGUUGAGCAAUACGACUUGGGUUUGCUUGAAAGACGGUAGUGGUAAGGCGGGAUCGCUUUGACAAUGGCUUAGGUCUAACCAAAAACAUUGUUUGCGGCGGUAACGUCCACCACGUAUAUCUUCAAACUUUGACCUCAAAUCAGGUAGGACUACCCGCUGAACUUAAGCAUAUCAAUAAGCGGAGGAGACAAAA